UUCACAUCAAUGGUGAGGUCAUUGGCAAAACCUUCAUCUUCAAACUUAUCCCAGUCUUCAUCCCAAACAGCUGCGCCUUCUUGUAUACCAGGUUGCCAACCAAUAGGAAGCUUAAUCAUAGCAGUUGACUCAACCUCUAACCCAUAUUUCUUGCAACGUUCAGUUAAAGCCUUCAUUAGCUCAUCAAGAUCAGAUUGUAAACGAUCAGCACGGACCUGAAGAAUACCAUUAGCACUUCCACCUCGUUCCAUGUUAACAAUCGCUUGAUGCAACUCUAACUUCCUUUCCUGAAUGUC
rnacentral:misc_RNA from 1 species